rnacentral:rRNA from 1 species
GAUGAACGCUAGCUACAGGCUUAACACAUGCAAGUCGAGGGGUAACAAGAGAAAAGCUUGCUUUUCUUGUUGACGACCGGCGCACGGGUGAGUAACGCGUAUCCAACCUGCCUAUAACUAGGAAAUAACCUUGCGAAAGUAAGACUAAUACCCUACGAUUUCCUUUGAUGACAUCAGAUUAGGAAUAAAGAUUUAUCGGUUAUAGAUGGGGAUGCGUCUGAUUAGCUUGUUGGCGGGGUAACGGCCCACCAAGGCAACGAUCAGUAGGGGUUCUGAGAGAGAGGUCCCCCAAAUUGGAAGUGAGACACGGUCCAAACUCCGACGGGAGGCAGCAGUGAGAAAUAUUGGUCAAUGGGCGGAAGACUGAACCAGCCAAGUAGCGUGCAGGAUGACGGCCCUAUGGGUUGUAAACUGCUUUUAUACAGGAAUAAAGUUAGCCACGUGUGGUUAUUUGUAGGUACUGUAUGAAUAAGGACCGGCUAAUUCCGUGCCAGCCGCCGCCGUAACAC